CCUACGGGAGGCAGCAGUAAGGAAUAUUGGUCAAUGGACGAAAGUCUGAACCAGCCAUGCCGCGUGAAGGAUGAAGGCCCUCUGGGUUGUAAACUUCUUUUAUCUGGGACGAAAAAAGGGAAUUCUUUCUCACUUGACGGUACCAGAGGAAUAAGCACCGGCUAACUCCGUGCCAGCAGCCGCGGUAAUACGGAGGGUGCAAGCGUUAUCCGGAUUUACUGGGUUUAAAGGGAGCGUAGGUGGGCAGGUAAGUCAGUGGUGAAAUCUCCGGGCUUAACCCGGAAACUGCCAUUGAUACUAUCUGUCUUGAAUAUUCUGGAGGUAAGCGGAAUAUGUCAUGUAGCGGUGAAAUGCUUAGAUAUGACAUAGAACACCAAUUGCGAAGGCAGCUUACUACGGGAUUAUUGACACUGAGGCUCGAAAGCGUGGGGAUCAAACAGGAUUAGAUACCCUGGUAGUCCACGCCCUAAACGAUGGAUACUCGACAUCAGCGAUACACUGUUGGUGUCUGAGNGAAGANAUAGUAUACCACCUCGGAGACGANCGCAGAUAGAACACAAGAAGUAGAGCGUGAGAGAGCGACGGACGACGACGAGGGAGGAGG
rnacentral:rRNA from 1 species